rnacentral:rRNA from 1 species
UAGGCGUAUCACGAGCCUUCGUCUCGCGCGUUCGUGAUGACGUGAUUUUAGAGGAAGGAGAAGUCGUAACAAGGUUUUGUAGGUGAACCUGCAGAAGGAUCAUUUG